UACGUAGGGUGCAAGCGUUGUCCGGAUUUAUUGGGCGUAAAGAGCUCGUAGGCGGCUCGUCGCGUCGACCGUGAAAACCCGCAGCUUAACUGCGGGCCUGCGGUUGAUACGGGCGGGCUAGAGUUCGGUAGGGGAGACUGGAAUUCCUGGUGUAGCGGUGAAAUGCGCAGAUAUCAGGAGGAACACCGGUGGCGAAGGCGGGUCUCUGGGCCGAUACUGACGCUGAGGAGCGAAAGCGUGGGGAGCGAACAGG
rnacentral:rRNA from 1 species